rnacentral:rRNA from 1 species
UACGUAGGGUGCGAGCGUUAAUCGGAAUUACUGGGCGUAAAGCGUGCGCAGGCGGUUUUGUAAGACAGAUGUGAAAUCCCCGGGCUUAACCUGGGAGCUGCAUUUGUGACUGCAAGGCUAGAGUACGGCAGAGGGGGAUGGAAUUCCGCGUGUAGCAGUGAAAUGCGUAGAUCUGAGGAGGAACACCGAUGGCGAAGGCAAUCCCCUGGGCCUGUACUGACGCUCAUGCACGAAAGCGUGGGGAGCAAACAGG